GCCCUCUCUUUCACACUCACUCCAUCGAAUCUCUUCUCCCUCACGCGAUUCUCCAUCACGACAUCUCUCUUGCUGGAAGUAAGAACCCAAGAGUCUCCUGCCUAUGGAAAGAACCCCAUCAUUCCAUCUGAACCUCUUUCCCCUUUCCCUCUUUCUCUCUUCAAUUCUGAAUGUGUGCUCCUCUCAGAAAUUAGGGUUUUUUAUUUCCCUCUUUCCUCUUCAAAACCUCACAACCGAAACUAAAGAUGUUAUAUUCCCUAAAAUUUGCCCAACUUUCGACAUCUUCUUUGGAUGGCCUCCACCACUUCGACAACGGCGACAAUGGAACCCCCGGAAGAGGCCGAAGAGACACCGCAGACAAAGCUUGAGUCCGAGAAGCCUGCUCCGGUUUCUUCCAGGGUUGUGGCAUUGGCGAACUUGAUGCCAGUUGAUGAUUCAGUUGACGCUCGAUAGCUACAUGUACCAAACUGUAAGCUUUUUAUUUUUUUAAAUGAAUGCCCCAGAACUUUAUUUAAGGAUGAAAUAUGAGCUUCAAGUCCCCGAAAAUGUAUCUUAAUUAGCUGUUUGGAUUGGACUAUUGA